rnacentral:rRNA from 1 species
GAUGAACGCUGGCGGCGUGCCUAAUACAUGCAAGUCGAGCGAACAGACGAGGAGCUUGCUCCUCUGACGUUAGCGGCGGACGGGUGAGUAACACGUGGAUAACCUACCUAUAAGACUGGGAUAACUGCGGGAAACCGGAGCUAAUACCGGAUAAUAUAUUGAACCGCAUGGUUCAAUAGUGAAAGACGGUUUUGCUGUCACUUAUCGAUGGAUCCGCCCCGCAUUAGCUAGUUGGUCAGGUAACGGCUUACCAAGGCAACGAUGCGUAGCCGACCUGAGAGGGUGAUCGGCCACACUGGAACUGAGACACGGUCCAGACUCCUACGGGAGGCAGCAGUAGGGAAUCUUCGGCAGUGGGCGAAAGCCUGACGGAGCAACGCCGCGUGAGUGAUGAAGGUCUUCGGAUCGUAAAGCUCUGUUAUUAGGGAAGAACAAAUGUGUAAGUAACUAUGCACGUCUUGACGGUACCUAAACAGAAAGCCACGGCUAACUACGUG